AGAGCCCACCUCAUGCAGCCUUUCUCUAGGGACUUGUAUCACUCACAGUCCAGCAUUGGAUCUGACUGCACUCUGGUGUCUCACAGAAAACACCACAGAGCCUGUUCAAAGCAGCCUUAGAUCUUUGCUUUUGUUCUUUUGUAAAGUGGGUUUUUUUUUUAAACAUUUCUCAUCAAGUUUCUUGAAAAAAAAAAUGCUCUGCCCAACACCUAAGGCUUAGAACUAACAGCAAUAAAAGUGUGUCUCUUGUAUGGUUAGUGCUUGAAUUCUUUUUUUUUUUUUUUUUAUUUAAGUAUUCUGACACAGUAUACUUAGAAAGUAACCCCUUUGCAGGUAGUUAUUUAAAGCUCUGUUUCUUUGUAAGUUGAAAAUAAACCGUUCUGCAGGUGGGGGUAAGAGCACAUCUUUCUCUUCUAGGGGGCAGCUUGGAUAGUCUAGGAUACUGUAUAAUAUGUAAUAUUUUGACGUUUCAUUUUAAAGGCGCGCUGUGUUUUGGAGGACCAUAAACAGAGAAGUUUCAUAAAUUAUGGAAGUGGGGCUGUCCUCCAGGGGUCCCAGGUUUUUCCCUCCCUUAGAAGUCUUCCUUUGUAAACAAGGCCUUUGUCAACCUUCCUAGGUCAGCAGCUUUCUGCUGCUCUAGAGAAAUAAUGAAUCAGUAUUUAUGACAUUUUGACAUGCUGCCAUGAAGACUCCUGACUUAUCUCAGGCACCACGCUGAGGACUGUUCCCCAGUCUCAGCAUUGUGAAGGAGGGCCAGCCAGUCUGGGCCACCAGAAGUUAGGAUUCAAACUGUUUCUGCUUAAGAUGCUGUGGAAGGAAGAAAACUAUGAUCCACAGUUCCUCUCUGUGGUAAUUUCUAAUGAGCAAAUGAGCAAAUGUCUCUCGUAUGAAAAGCCAGAUUUGGAGAUUGUUUUUUAUUUAUUUUUCCCUGUCAUUGUUCAGAAAAACUAUGUGUGUGUGUAACUUUUAAUAUCUAACUAGUUAAUAAAAUUAUGAGCCAUUAUAUAAGUAAUUGGGUAUAGAUAGUACAGAUGUUGGUAAUUUAUUUGGCAGAGUGUUUGGGAAGUUGUAAGGCCUUUGUUUUUCUCUAUACAGAAAGUUGUGACUUUGUGUUAAUUAGAGAACACAGGAGUCUAAUACUAAGCCUUGCCAGAGUUUGUGAAAGAGCAUAUUUUUUGCCUAAGAGAUUUAUUACCAAGUUAAAUAGGUUCUUGAAAACUGGGUUUGAAAGACUUUAUGUCUCUCUUACUGUUUAUUAUCUUUAUUAUUUUCCAUAUUAUUGUUAGUACCUUUUUUUGAAAGUGUGAAUAUCUGCACUUUCAAGUACUUAAGUUUUUUUUUAAUAUAAUUUAAAUACUUGAAUAAUUAUAGUUCAGCAGUUUGUCUAAGGGAUCCGAUGGAGCCAGUAGCUAAAUGAUGAGGUUUUAAAUAUUGACUAGAACCAUCUCAUUAAUUCUCUCACAUGAUCACCUAGAGUGAUGUAUUGGAUAAGGAUGUAAAUUCUCAUUUUUUUAUGUGUUUGCUUUUUGGAGACAAAGCCUUAUGUAUGCCAGACAGGCCCAGAAUUCACAAUCUGCCUGCUCCUAUAUCUUUACUGGAAUUACAGCUGUGUAUCGCCACACCUGGAGCUAAGGACAGAACACGGGACUUUGUGUAUGCCAGGCAAAUUCUCCACCAAUGGCAUCCUUAACACACAAUUUAUUUCUGGACUUUUGGGAAACUUUGUAUGAAUAGUGAUAUUUUACUGGUUCUUUGAGGGCCUGUGGGGCAUUGUGACAGGUAUAAUCAGGCUAUACUUCUAUGUGAUUUAUAGCAUCUUAUAUUACCAAACUAUAACUUUAGGCCAACUUAUCUUUAAUAUGCCCAAUGUUCCCUGACUGGCACAGUCAUAAUCGGAACUCAACAGUGAAUCCCUGAAAUGCAUGACAGUAACCAUUUAGGAACCAGUCUGUCAUCAAGAGGUCCACUGAACCUUUCUGGGUUUCAAUUCCUUGCCUACCACUGGAUGCACACUGGAAAAGGACCUCUUGGUCUAGGUCAAAACAGGUAUAGUGGUCUUCCCAAGGCUUAUUCAAGUUUUAGGUGGGUAAGCUUCAGUCCUAUACCAUUAUAUGUUCUACAUUUGUGCAAACACUACUGUCUUAGAAACUUUUCAAAACAAAUUACUUAAUCUACGUAUGGUCUGGGGUUUGUAAUUGAUGAAUGGAAUCCCCAGAAGUUGAGGCUGAAAUAAAACCUAGUUUAAAAGCCAUUAAGGUAUAAUUAUAAUCCCCUCUUCUUUAAAAAACAAAACCAAACAAAAUACUGGAUUUGGCAUUUGGGGGUUAAAAUUAGGUUUUUUAAAAAAAUGGCUGAGAAGAGCUGUAGUGUGUUGGCUCCCAGGUUACCUGAGAGGGAUUCUCUAUGGGAUUGCUCUCCAGUUGUGCCUUUCUUGUUUGAGAUGCUUGUGCAUUUUUUUGUGGCACACUGCAGUUCCUGCCAUCCCACUGGGAGAUGAGCCAUCCCUGUGGAAAUUGAAGGUCUGGGAGGAAAGCCUCUCCUGCCCCCAGGCUUUUAAACAACUGGACACAUAAUAGCUUGGCAAAUAUUUGCAGCUAUUCUGUGGUUUGCUGUUCUGUUCUGAGAUGCCAUUAAGCAAAGUCCAAAAUUCU
rnacentral:lncRNA from 1 species